UACGGAGGGGGCUAGCGUUGUUCGGAAUUACUGGGCGUAAAGCGCACGUAGGCGGAUUGUUAAGUCGGGGGUGAAAUCCCGGGGCUCAACCCCGGAAUGGCCUCCGAUCCUGGCAAUCUUUAGGUCGGGAGAGGUGAGUGGAAUGGCGAGUGUAGACGUGAAAUUCGUAGAUAUUCACCGGAACUCCAGUGGCGAAGGCGGCUAACUGGCCCGAUACUGACGCUGAGGUGCUUCAGCGUGGAGAGCAAACAGG
rnacentral:rRNA from 1 species